CCAAAAUCACUCAACUCUAAUUAUGAGGAUUUAGUUAAUCACUAUUUACUUAUUUUGGAAUGAUUAAUUAAAUACUAAAUAAGGGUUUAUUAACAUUUUAACCAAACCUUAUCCAAAUGCCACCAAAUUUUGUGUGGAGCCAGGGAAUAAUAUUCAGAGGCUCCCCACAAUUUUUGGUGAUUUUUGGACAUACAAUUAAAUUAUUAAAAUUCAUACAAGUUUUAUUUGCUAAUUAAAAGGGCAAAUUUUUACAGACAUGUAAACUACCAGAAAACAGAACUUAAUAUUUUUCUUGGGUUCUACUCACUUCAGAGAGCUUACACAAAAAUUUCCACGAUUUUUGGAUUAGCACACGAAUUAUUACACAAAAUCAAACAUAACUCAAAAACUGCACAAAAAGAAAAAGAAAAACAGUACUGUGCAGCGAGUGGCCGGG
rnacentral:lncRNA from 1 species